GCAAUGCCGGAUCCUUAACCCACUGAGCAAGGCCAGGGAUCAAACCCACAACCUCAUGGUUCCUAGUCGAAUUCGUUAACCACUGAGCCACAACGGGAACUCCUGACCCAUGGAUUAUUUAGAAAUAUGUUGUUUAAUUUCCAAGUAUUUGGAAAUGUUUCUCUUGUCUUUAAGUUACUGACUUCUAAUUAGAUUUUAUUAUAGACAGAAAACAUACUCUGUAUGAUUUCAGUUCUUUUAAAUUGGUUAGGAUUUGUUGUAUGACCUAGAACAUGGUCGUGAUGGUGAAUGUCCCAUGAGCACUUGAAUAGAAUAUGUAUUCUGCUAUUGCUGGGCAGAGUGUUCUAUAAAUGUCUGUUAGAUACAGUAGGCUGAAGGUAUUGUUGAUUCCUCUGUAUCCUUGCUGAUUUUAUCUCUACUAGCUCUAUCAAAUUCUGCAAGCUGCAAGCUGGGUGUUGAAAUACCCAACGGCAAUUGUGAAUUUGUCUAUUUCUACUUUCAUCUCUUACUGGUUUUUGCUGGGUGCUACACAUACUCAGCAUUGCUACAUCCUGGUGGACCGAUUGAUCCUUAUAUCAUUAUGUAAUGCCUGCUUUUGUUCCUAAUAAUUUUCUUGCUCUAAAGUUUAUUUUAUUGGUGUUCUUAUAGUCUCUGGUACUUUUUUUUUCUAAUUCCUAUUUACAUGAUACAUCUUUUCCCAUCUGUUUACUUCCUAUUUAUCCAUGCUAUUUUUGAGCUCAUUUUCUUAGUCUGUGUAUAUUUAAUUCAUGUGUAUUAUUCACUCUAUAUCUACCUAUUUUUAAUUUUUUUCCAACUCUAGUGAGGAAUAGUUGAUCUCUAUCUUUUAAUUGUUGUAUUUAAAUUAAUCAUUGAGGCGUUCCCUACGUGGUACAGCAGAAACGAAUCUGACUAGGAACCAUGAGGUUGCGGGUUCGAUCUCUGGCCUUCCUCAGUGGGGCCAGGGAUCGAACCCGCAACCUCAUGGUUCCUAGUCGGAUUCGUUAACCACUGCGCCAUGACAGGAGCUCCAUAUAUUAGGAGACUUUUAAAUGCUACUUAAAUCUUUUUAGCAGAUACUCACCUUUUCUAAGUGUAACGUCUAGGUUCUAACCUACUUUUGUGGGCUGUAGUUCAAGUGACAUCUUAGUUUUCAGAGCCCUUGAUGUUCUAUUCUGUCUGCUUCAUUCUUUGGAUAUUUGAGGGCUCUCACUCAGGCCCUGCAAGUGCUGCCUGAAAUUGCUUCCCUGGGCCACCUAGAGCUGCAAGUUCGCCUUCAGCCAAGGACGGUGGAGAGACUGAAGCCACAGGAUCUGGCUCUUCUCAUGCUGUUGGGUGGAGGAUGGAACAAUGCUAGGCUGAAUCAGCCUACCUGCCAGUACCCAGGUGUGGAGAGGGGGUUGGGCCAGCCCAGUGUGGCUUUGAAGGCAAAUGGCACUCCCUGCUGUGCCCCCUUAGCCCCCCUCCAUUUUGGCUCUUUCAGAUUUCUCCUUUCUGGGUUCUUUGGUCAUAUUUUCUUGUUUGCUUGUUUGUCAGCACCCAUUGGUGCUUCCAGUUUUCAGGCCUCUCUGGCAUCCAUAUGAGGCAUAAGGAAGAUAAAAAGAACUCACCACAUCAUCAGCCCUCAAGUCCUGUGUUCUCUAAUGAGUCCACCUCUUCUUCCCCGCUUUCAGAAUACUUGAUCUUUGUCUGUUGGAUUGUGUCCAAGCUAUUUAGUUGUUUUGGGGAGGCGGGGGAGGAGAAGGGAUACAUGAGCUUACAGUUUCUUGUUCUGGAAUGGGAUGUGCUAAUAAAGAUUUGGCAGAUGGAAAGAGGAAUGCACCUCUGAAAUUCCAUGGCUGCGAGAGCCACUGCGGGGCCUUGGUACAGAGUGGACACACUGUAGUCAUUGGUUGAAUUCAUAAGCAGAUGGCAUUUGCAUACUUUAACUUCAGUAUGCUAAAGGCAGAGGCUCUUCUCUCCUGAAUUCUUGGACAAGGACUUCUCAGGGCUUUGAGGCUUCCUCUUUCUGAGAAAAGACCACAAUGUCUCAGGUAGCCUGAAGGUAGGAGUUUGCUAUUGUCCAAAAGCUGGUGACACUGUCUCUUUUUGUCUCUCUAUACCUCUGUCCGUCCAUCCAUCUGUCUGUAUAUAUGCAUGGAUCUAUCUAAUGACCUCAAGCUGAAGAAAAGGAAUUAUAAAACCGUUUAACCAUUUAACUUUUUGCUCUUUUUUCCGAAAAGAAGAAAAUUCGCUCUUCAGUAUCCUGAUAUACUUAGCAUAAGAAGUCAGGACUCGAAAACAUUCCCUUAGCUAAAAUCUUUCUUCAAGAAAAAGGCCAAUAUUUAAAAUAUAGAAAUAAUAAAAAAUUUAAAUUUUCGCUCAUAGCAGCACCAGAUUUACAUGACAGAAUGUCAGCAUUUUUCAAAGAGGUUCAUGCGGAGAUUUCAAUGAGAUUUCCUUCAGCUCAUAGUCCCUUAUGCUCUGUGCAUAUUAUGGUGCCUCUCAGAUGUGGCUUUUUAAAUGAAAGAAUUUUAAUGAAGCAGUAAAUAACUCUACAGUGAGGGGAUCAACUGUGAGGGGUGUGUUUCAUACAGGAUCACACCCGCAGGUUUUGUUUUUGUAAAUCUGAAUGUUCCUCCCCAACAGAUACCCCACUUUUUGGAUUCAAGAGAUGAAAUACACAAGGAAUUCAUUAAGGAAUCAGGCUUUGGUGGGACAGCUUUGAUUUGACACUUUUGAAAUAUGAUCCAGGUCACAGCGGUGAAUGGUGCAAACCUCUUUUUUGGCAACAGCAUCUGGACUUGAUUAUUUUAAAUUAGGUUGCGGGGCGCUGGCAUCCACCCUUCUGUGAAGCAGCUACUGCAAACUGCCCUUGUAUCCCGAGAUAAGAUGGGAAAUUAGAUGAGUUCUGAAUACUUAGAAAUAAACUUUUAUAUUAAUUCUCAACUUUGUUGUCUCCAGUGCCCUGUUUGUUUAAGCUUCUAGAAUUGCACCUUUUAUCUUUCAUUAGCGAGGAUGGCUUUCAUGCCAAAGAUAAAUUAAACCUGGAGCCUUUUCUUAGUAUUUAACUUCCUGUGCAAUCAUAAGUGACACUAAAUAGGUUCUUCUAUGAAUAUUUAUUAAAUGAAUGGACAAUUAACCCCCCCCCAAUAAUCUACCAUUAAAGACAUGCGAGUGUUUCUGGGAGGUCCGUGAGCAGCCUUGUGGAUCCCUCCUGCACACUUUCCAGGGCUUCACUCCCUUUCCAUCUCCAGUGGUCAGGCUUUCAAAACUCAGGUGUCUUCUUCCCUCUACCCUGACUGCAGGCCAACAAAAGGAUGUAAAAUUGGGUUUAAACCCAGUUUUCAGUAGCAAAUAUGUACAGUUUUCUGAUUCCAGGCAUGUUUGCCUUUGAACAUUUGUUUUUCAGAAUGAGAAUCUGCAUCAAAGAGAAAGAAAACAACCCCACACUUUAACAUCUAACAAGUUCCUCUUUUAUGUUGUUUCAGAAAUAGUCAUGCAGCCAUUUCUUUAAUUAAAUUCAUAGAACCCAAAUUCCAAAUGCACUGAUGUUUCAAAAUGAAUGGUUCUUUUGAUGAGCUUCAAAUUUGAAAGGGUUUGAGAGCAAAUAUGUUGGGAAGAAGUUCUUCACCAAGGAGAUCUGGAUGGAAUGUGAACCUACUUUUGGACACACACGUGUGAAGGUGACACAAUUGGAUCCCACUUAUUCUUCUCCCCAAGACUUAGCUUAAAAACACCCAAGAGUAUAGACUAUUAGCAUCUGUAGCAUUAGGCCUCAAAGCUCUCCAAGAAAUUGCAACUCAUUUAAACCCCACAAAAGUCUUCUUACAGAUGAGAAAAAGAGACGAGUUCCCUUGUGGCACAAUGGGUUCAGGAUCUAGCACCGUCCCUGCAGCAGCUUAGGCCGCUGCUGUGGUAUGGGGUCAAUCCCUGGCCCAAGAAAUUCCACAUGCCACAGCUGCAGUCAAACCAAACAAAUGAAAAUAAACAAAACAAAACAAAAAGAGAGAGAGAGAAAGACAGAGAGGGAAACUAACUUGCCUCUGAUCCUACAGCCAGGAUGUCACUCAGACCUGUCCUUGACUCCUAUUCACUCCACUUGCAGUACUAUUCUACCACACAGCCAUCCAAAAUGGGCUAAAAAAAAGUAUCCCUGGAAGAUAAAAUCCUGGGAUAACAACAGUUUCCAAAAGGGCCCUUGACGCCCCACUGACUUCUAUCCCAAUGUGACUUUCCUUCGUUUCACUGACCUGUACAUGUUUUGGGUCCCUCUCACCACUUUCUUUCAAAUUUGGGUUUUUUUUUUCCCUUUCAAGUGACAGUGUUUAUUUUUUUUCUUUCGUAUACCAAAAAUGAUUCUUACAAACCACAAAGUGAGAGAAACAUAUUUAUUUGUUAGAGAAUAGGUAUUUAGAUUGUCGGAGAUAUUAUCAUAAUAAUAAUUAUUAUUAUCAUAAUAAUAAUUAGUAUUAUUGUUAGGCCGUGCCUAGGGCAUGAGGAAGUUCCCAGGCCAGGAAACAGAUCUGCACCAUGGCAGUGACCAGAGCCCCAGCAGUGUUAAGCACUUGAUCCUUAACCCACUGAGCCACCAGGGAACUCCUUAGAAACAUUAUUGAUAUUCUUGGGAUAUUGUUCCAGAAUCACUUUUCAUCUGUUUUUGGAUAGGCAGAACAGACUCUUUGAUGUUAGAAACAGAGGACUCUGGAGUCAGGAAGAUAAAAUUUCAAUAAGGGUCUUCUAUUUUCUUAGCUCUG
rnacentral:lncRNA from 1 species